rnacentral:rRNA from 1 species
AUUGAACGCUGGCGGUAUGCUUAACACAUGCAAGUCGAACGGUAGCAGGCCUUCGGGCGCUGACGAGUGGCGGACGGGUGAGUAACGCGUAGGAAUCUGCCUCAUAGUGGGGGACAACGUGUGGAAACGCACGCUAAUACCGCAUACGCCCCACGGGGGAAAGCGGGGGACCUUUGGGCCUCGCGCUAUGAGAUGAGCCUGCGUUAGAUUAGCUAGUUGGUGGGGUAAAGGCCUACCAAGGCGACGAUCUAUAGCUGGUCUGAGAGGACGAUCAGCCACACUGGGACUGAGACACGGCCCAGACUCCUACGGGAGGCAGCAGUGGGGAAUAUUGGACAAUGGGCGCAAGCCUGAUCCAGCAAUACCGCGUGUGUGAAGAAGGCCCUAGGGUUGUAAAGCACUUUCAAUAGGGAGGAAAACCUGCCGGUCAAUACCCGGUAGCUUGACAUUACCUAUACAAGAAGCACCGGCUAACUCCGUGCCAGCAGCCGCCGUAAUAC